rnacentral:rRNA from 1 species
AUUGAACGCUGGCGGCAGGCCUAACACAUGCAAGUCGAACGAGUGGCGGACGGGUGAGUAAAGUCUGGGAAACUGCCUGAUGGAGGGGGAUAACUGCUGGAAACGGUAGCUAAUACCGCAUACCAUCAGAUGUGCCCAAAUGGGAUUAGCUUGUUGGUGGGGUAACGGCUCACCAUGGCGACGAUCCCUAGCUGGUCUGAGCGGAUGACCAGCCACCCGGGAACGGAGACACGGUCCAGACUCCUACGUGAGGCAGCAGUGGGGAAUAUUGCACAAUGGGCGCAAGCCUGAUGCAGCCAUGCCGCGUGUAUGAAAAAGGCAUUCGGGUUGUAAAGUACUUUCAGCGGGGAGGCGUUACCCGCAGAAGAAGCACCGGCUAACUUCGUGCCAGCCGCCGCGGUAAUUC